rnacentral:rRNA from 1 species
UACGUAGGUGGCAAGCGUUGUCCGGAAUUAUUGGGCGUAAAGAGCGCGCAGGCGGUCGAUCAAGUCGAGUGUGAAAGCCCCCGGCUCAACUGGGGAGGGUCAUUCGAUACUGAUCGACUCGAAGGCAGGAGAGGGUAGUGGAAUUCCCGGUGUAGUGGUGAAAUGCGUAGAUAUCGGGAGGAACACCAGUGGCGAAGGCGACUACCUGGCCUGUUCUUGACGCUGAGGCGCGAAAGCUAGGGGAGCAAACGGG